rnacentral:tRNA from 1 species
CGAGGCGUGGCGCAGUUGGUAGCGCGGGUGGUUUGGGACCAUCAGGCCGCAGGUUCAAGUCCUGUCGCCUCGACCA